CACCAGCACUCCUCCUUUUCCCCUGCUAUCACUUGCUGUAAAUAAAACAAAAACAAAACAAACAGGACUUCCCGGGGUGAGUUUUUAAGCAUGAAGACUCCUCCAAAACAAAGGCUGCCCCAUCCACAGUUAGCAGGGAGUACUGAAAGCUACGGGUAGUGAGUUCAGUUAUUUUCCCAAUCUAUGCAAAUUACCAUUUGCAGCACCCUUUGGACAAAAAGUCUUGAAGCUCAGAUGAUGUUAUAAAAUGAAUGUCAAUCCCACGGAAGUCAAAUCUGUUCUGAAGAGUUUGCUAUCUAUCUAUAUGCAAGACAGGGAAAGGAAACUGAAUUAUACAAACCCAUCUCUUGUACAGCAGGAAGAAAUCUCGGCUUCCCUAUACAUCCUGAUUAUUAUUGGGUUUUUUGGUUUUCUCCUUUUCUCUAUGAUGCUCAGCAAUAUUGUUCUCAGGCAGAGGGAAAACUACAUGGAUUACCUCUUCCAAAAUAAAUUUCCAAGAAAGAGGAUAAGUUCCUGCAACAGCAUAAUGGUACAUGCUGGAAAAGGUGUUACAAUAGAAGCUAACACAGAUUGCCAGUGCCAAAAGACCGACAGUUGCCCAAUGGCAGAAAUUCCGAGCAUGGAAUCAGUGCAGAAAAAUGUAUGAAGGUGCAGUAUCAUGACCUAUUUUUAACUAUGGAUGAUUUUGUUGCCAUCUAAAGUAUUAGAUCUGAUUGCACUAACUUGGGCCAUUCCUGGCAAGCCUCAUUUGGAGCAACCUUUCUAUCUACUGUGCAAGAAAAAAAUUGUUUCUUUCUAAAUUGCAUUAUAGUUUUCCUAUUCUAAACUCCCUUGAGUUUCCACUAAUAGUUUGGUAAUCCAGUUCAAACUUGUAUGAUUUCUUUAUAUUCAUGCUGAUAUACGCUUUUGUGAUGUGUCCCACGUGGACUAAGUAAGCUAUCUUCCUUUUUUUCCCCCUUAAUUGUGGGUUUUGUAAAGACUUUUGUUCUUGUAACUGUGUCAAUUGUGGAGACCUCCUCACAAUCUAAAAGAAAUACAUAAAGACUGAAAGAGUCAAAUCAAGUAAACAUUGGCUAGAAAUCUAACUUUCCUGCCCUGGUUUAUUAUUGGCCCAUUACCCAUAGAUAGAAAAUUCAAAACAAAGGGAACCUGGAACCCAGAGCUGCAAGUUUUCCCUGAAAAUUAGCAGAAUCUGAAAAUUGUCAAAUUGCCAUGUUUAAUGUGACAAAAUAAGGAACUUUAUUAAAACCCAUGACUAGGGAAUAGGCAGGUUAAUUAUACUGAAGUUUAACUAAAUUUAAAUGGAAACGAACUGAAGUCAAGUUUAGAUUCUAACUUACCAUUCAAAAGCUAAGUGUGAUCUUCGCCAAGGAAAAGUUAUGCAUUCCUGG